rnacentral:rRNA from 1 species
UCGAACGCGAAAGGGGAGCAAUCCCUGAGUAGAGUGGCAAACGGGUGAGUAACACGUGGGUGACCUGCCUCAGAGUGGGGGAUAACGACCCGAAAGGGUCGCUAAUACCGCAUAACAUGCUGCGUUUGGAAACGCAGACAUCAAAGCCGGGGAUCGCAAGACCUGGCGCUUGGAGAGGGGCCCGCGGCCGAUUAGCUAGUUGGUGAGGUAACGGCUCACCAAGGCAACGAUCGGUAUCCGGCCUGAGAGGGCGGACGGACACACCGGGACUGAGACACGGCCCAGACUCCUACGGGAGGCAGCAGUGGGGAAUUGUUCGCAAUGGGCGCAAGCCUGACGACGCAACGCCGCGUGGAGGAUGAAGAUCUUCGGGUCGUAAACUCCUUUCGAUCGGGAAGAACGUUUUCCGGGUGAACAACCCGGAGAAGUGACGGUACCGAGAGAAGAAGCCCCGGCUAACUCUGUGCCAGCAGCCGCGGUAAUACAGGGGGGGCAAGCGUUGUUCGGAAUUACUGGGCGUAAAGGGCCAGUAGGCGGCCAACUAAGUCCGACGUGAAAUCACCAAGCUUAACUUGGGAACUGCGUCGGAUACUGGAUGGCUUGAAUUCGGGAGAGGGAUGCAGAAUUCCAGGUGUAGCGGUGAAAUGCGUAGAUAUCUGGAGGAAUACCGGUGGCGAAGGCGGCAUCCUGGACCGACAUUGACGCUGAACGGCGAAAGCUAGGGGAGCAAACGGGAUUAGAUACCCCGGUAGUCCUAGCCCUAAACGAUGAAUGUUUGGUGUGGCGGGUAUCGAUCCCUGCCGUGCCGAAGCUAACGCAUUAAACAUUUC